UACGGAGGGUGCAAGCGUUAUCCGGAAUCAUUGGGUUUAAAGGGUCCGCAGGCGGGAAAUAAGUCAGUGGUGAAAUCUUACAGCUUAACUGUGAAACUGCCAUUGAUACUGUUUUCUUGAAUUCGAUCGGAGUGGGCGGAAUGUGACAUGUAGCGGUGAAAUGCUUAGAUAUGUCACAGAACACCGAUAGCGAAGGCAGCUCACUAGGUCUGGAUUGACGCUCAGGGAC
rnacentral:rRNA from 1 species